AACGAACGCUGGCGGCAUGCCUAACACAUGCAAGUCGAACGAAGCCUUCGGGCUUAGUGGCGCACGGGUGCGUAACGCGUGGGAAUCUGCCCCUUGCUUCGGAAUAACAGUUAGAAAUGACUGCUAAUACCGGAUGAAGUCUUCGGACCAAAGAUUUAUCGGCAAGGGAUGAGCCCGCGUAGGAUUAGGUAGUUGGUGGGGUAAAGGCCUACCAAGCCGACGAUCCUUAGCUGGUCUGAGAGGAUGAUCAGCCACACUGGGACUGAGACACGGCCCAGACUCCUACGGGAAGCAGCAGUGGUGAAUAUUGGACAAUGGACGCAAGUCUGAUCCAGCAAUGCCGCGUGAGUGAUGAAGGCCUUAGGGUUGUAAAGCUCUUUUACCAGGGAUGAUAAUGACAGUACCUGGAGAAUAAGCUCCGGCUAACUCCGUG
rnacentral:rRNA from 1 species